AAGUCUGAGGCGAACUCGUGCCCGAGCCACGAAGGUAAUAAAUCUUCGGCACACUCGAGGUGGAGAGACGUCUAUUCGUGCAUUCGCUUCGCUUAUGACAAUGUGUUUUCGCGGCGGUGCUGCGCCCUGGCGGGGAGACGCGUAACUCUAACGACAAGCGUCGCUCAGCGGUACUACGUACCCACGGACUCGAAACACGACUCGGCCGCCAUAGACGUAUAGCCAGUGCGUCGAGACGUUAACGAGACAAAUUCUUAUUACUCUAUUUGAAAUAGUUUCCGCGAAACUCCGCAGGGUUAACCGGACAGUCCUGAAACGGUAACGCGUACCCGAUGACGUUAUUAAUCGUUUAAUGGGAAACAGGGAGAGGCCAGCAGAACGAUCGCCAACGGCACAACCGACACAGCUGACCUCAGCCUCUAUACCUAACCUAUCAGUGCGACGUAUAUACACACCGGGCUAGAACAGCCUGGGCAGCCGACCAGGGUCCGACAUAAGGAGCGCUCUCUGGUGGAUUAAUUAUCAUUACCCUCGUGCGCGGAAUGAGAUCGUAUACCUUCUCCGUGACUGGCUACCGCACCCGUGUUUCGACCCACUUCUGUCACGCGUAUAACGAGAGAGACCCCGUAAGAAAAAGCCGGGCACGGCUGGAAUCGCGCUGGCUGAAAAUUUGAACGCGGUGCAGAAAGACUGAACGAAGAUACUUUAAUCGUACCUGGAAUCGUCACUAAGCCUCCACUGGAAUCCCAAUAAACGACGAUCUAUGCAGCCAGACGUCUCGUAUAGAGAACGUAAUCAGGUAGCUGGGCUGGAUGCGAACUCAGCAGCUGGAUCGUUUGCUAGGCAGAUACAGGUAAAGUACCAACGCGUAGGGUACGUAAAGCCUCCUCCAUACGUACGUACGUAUGUAGCUACAUACGCCAAAGCGAAACGGCUAACGAUGCCCAUUAGAGCACGACGUAGAGUCUUCCUGACUAAUCGCAAUGCGCACGACUCCAUACCUCAUGCAGAUCGGCUAUUCGUCUUGCGCUAUCCUCCAGUUUGUCAGCCGAAUCGAUACGAUAAAGAUACCAGCUGUCUAUGACGCUGGCUGCUGCCGGCGGAUCGGCAACGCUCGCAUAUUUUGAUCGAAGAUAAUAAUGGAUCGGCACAGGACGUAUCGACUGGGAGAAGGUACCUGGACCAGGCAUUAGAACAGGUACAUGAUACACCGGGUCUGCUGUCGGACUUGGGUAUAAGGUACCUGUACGAGAUGGUCCCACAUAUGAAUGCCCUUUAAGGUAGCACCGUCGUUUACCACAUUUUCAACGUGUCACGAGACUCCUGAGUAUCUACCAGUGUACCUCACUACCACCGUUACGCCAGAUCAAUUCCCGGGGGAUCGAUAGGCAGCUCUAACGAGACGAUGAUGGAAAUGUGGAGAUUGCUCGGAGGCUGAUGACUGACGCUCGGUCCAUAAACCAAUAUAUGACCCAAUCCAGACGUGAAUCAUGAUCAGACUGACGAGUGCCAGCACCCUUUCGACUGAGCAGCGUUCCUGGCGAUCGUGAGGCAACAGCGGCGUAACCGCCGCAACCCAGAUCUGUCAUUGUGAGCAUCCACGAGUAGGGAGGAUCAUCAUCAUCAUCGCGGGAGGAUGAACUGGAGGUGAGGAGCAUCCAUUCAUCAGACGGUAACUGGAGGAGGUGUACCUAACCCACAUGUCUAUUACAACCUUUGCGCUGGGAUACCAAGAAUGGGAGGAUGAAAAAUUCAUGGAAAUAUAGACAGAUGGAUGGAUGGAUGGAUAUACGUCUAAGCGCUAUACGUUAUAAAGGAAUAGAGAGUAUCGCGACUACACGUGUGUCUACGCAGAAGAGAAAGAUUAAAGCAUUUCGUGAUUCCAUGCUCAUCUUCGCGCGAGCGCAAUCAUCGUCUCUUCAAAGCAGCCGCACGCUGCGCGUUUCGUAAUCAUCCUUAAAUGAUAACGAGAUACGUGUCGGGACGGUGCUCAGGAUGCUGUAUCCACAUAGCAUACGUGGAUAGGAAUACGUCUCUCCCAUCAAAGCAUAGAAAAUGCGGAUGCGUUUAUCUGCUCGUGUCAACAACGUGCAUAUCAAAGGAUAGGAAUUCAAAUGCCAUUUUCAGCUAAUAGUUCUGACGCUUUUCCAACGUUCAGCCGUUAUACGUAUAUAUAUAUAUAUAUAUAUAUAUAUAUAUAUAUAUAUAUAUAUAUACACACACACAUAUUCGUUCUGAAGAUGCGCCAUACGCUUCUAUAUAUGUAUACAUUGUUACCGGGUAUAUACCAACUGUAAUCUACUAAAGAGUCUCGGUAUUGGGAGAUCAAACUGAUAGAUACAAAACUGGUCGUGGAAUCUCGGCUGGAUGGUAAUUAAGCAUUAAUCUAUAACGAGACAUAAUUAGUCAUAGACUAACGAGCGGGAGCUCGUUGCAUACGAAUUAACCGAUAAACUUCUCGAUACUCACGAACGCCCACGCGGCGACUAUCUAUAGAUGGAUGUACCUAACCUCAUCUGGCGCUAUACUGAAAACCACUCCGGAUGCACCAGGAUCAUCGGCCACCCUGGCAACGUGCCCACAUAACCUACCCAUAAACUUGGCAGGGUUCUGUUCUAACCUGGACGUGGAGUUUACGUUCUAUACGUUAUAGCCUAUGGUAUAUUCUGGACUAGAGGCUGCUGCUGCCGCUGCUGCUACUCUUUAACGUGGGUUAGACCACCCGGAAGACAUCGAGGGAAGACGUACUCCUGUGGCUUCCCCGAACGAUUCGCCACGCGGCUCGUGCGACCACCUAGUACAAAAGGAUACGAGAUGGAUCCUCCUACUUUUGCUCCUGCGAAGGCGGGAACCUCGAUUCGAGCUUCUCGCAUUAACGAUCCGGUAUACGUCAAGCUGGUAACAGUGCUGGAGGUUACGCGUAGGAUGUAGAAAAUUAAUAUAUUGGCAAGCUUUAGGAUUAUGGGUAAUUGUAUGAUAUACUGUGGAUUAGCUAAAUUUACUUUGGAUUAUAGCCGAAGGACUCGCUGGGAAGACGCCUCGAGACUCCUGAGUAAUCUAUAAUCUUUUGUUUAUUGUUAAAACAAGUAUGGUAGUGCGUACUUAGUACAAUCUAGAUCGACUGUCCCAGUUUGUAUGGCUGCGUACAAGAUUUUCUCGGGUAACAAAAGCUUCGCCCUUUAUCCCGGAACAAUGGGACCUGAGUGAGAAUGUGAUGAGGGUGACAAGCGCCCUUUUGUACGGAACGAAGUGUGAAAUCGAGCAGAGUUCAGACUGGAGAGACUCUGGAGGUACAAAGAGAGAGAAAGAGAGAGAAGGAGAAAGGUGGUGUAUUAAAAAAUAAGGUUAACGUUUUAUACGGCUCGAAGAAUCAAACGUCACGUGUGUAUCCCGCCUUAAAAUUUAUAUCAAAACAAUCUUAAUGAUCAAAUAACACA